rnacentral:rRNA from 1 species
AGAGACAGCAGCAGCCACGGGAAUACGAAGGGUGCAAGCGUUAAUCGGAAUUACUGGGCGUAAAGCGUGCGUAGGCGGUGAGUUAAGUCUGCUGUGAAAUCCCCGGGCUCAACCUGGGAAUGGCAGUGGAUACUGGCUCGCUAGAGUGUGUCAGAGGAUGGUGGAAUUCCCGGUGUAGCGGUGAAAUGCGUAGAGAUCGGGAGGAACAUCAGUGGCGAAGGCGGCCAUCUGGGACAACACUGACGCUGAGGCACGAAAGCGUGGGGAGCAAACAGGAUUAGAUACCCCGGUAGUCCCUGUCUCUUAUAA